rnacentral:rRNA from 1 species
GACGAACGCUGGCGGCGUGCCUAAUACAUGCAAGUCGAACGCAGUGGGGACGGGGGAGUAACACGUGGGUAACCUCCCAUCAGAGGGGAUAACACUUGGAAACAGGUGCUAAACCGAUACUGAUGGAUGAACCCGCGGUGCAUUAGCUAGUGGGGGGGGUAACGGCUCACCAAGGCCACGAUGCAUAGCCGGCCUGAGAGGGUGAUCGGCCACACUGGGACUGAGACACGGCCCAGACUCCUACGGGAGGCAGCAGGAGGGAAUAUUGGGCAAUGGGCGAAAGUCUGACGGAGCCAUGCCGCGGGAGUGAAGAAGGUUUUAGGAUCGUAAAACUCUGUUGUUAGAGAAGCGGUACCUAAAGAGGAAGCAACGGCUAACUACGUGCCAGCAGCCGCGGUAAUUC